rnacentral:pre_miRNA from 1 species
AGUGUGAUAACUGGGUCAAAUGGUGGUUUAAUUCCAAACUUUCAAAGGAAUCUCCAGAUUACUUUCCACAGUGGUUGCAACAAUUUGCAGUCCCACCAGUAAU